rnacentral:rRNA from 1 species
AUGCACUACGGUGCAGAAGUAGUUGAUGCCAAGCUUCCAGGAAAAGCCUCUAAGCAUCAGGUAACACAGAAUCGUACCCCAAACCGACACAGGUGGUCAGGUAGAGAAUACCAAGGCGCUUGAGAGAACUCGGGUGAAGGAACUAGGCAAAAUGGUGCCGUAACUUCGGGAGAAGGCACGCUGGCGCGUAGGUGAAGAGACUUGCUCUCGGAGCUGAAGCCAGUCGCAGAUACCAGCUGGCUGCAACUGUUUAAUAAAAACACAGCACUGUGCAAACACGAAAGUGGACGUAUACGGUGUGACGCCUGCCCGGUGCUGGAAGGUUAAUUGAUGGGGUCAGCCGCAAGGCGAAGCUCUUGAUCGAAGCCCCAGUAAACGGCGGCCGUAACUAUAACGGUCCUAAGGUAGCGAAAUUCCUUGUCGGGUAAGUUCCGACCUGCACGAAUGGCGUAAUGAUGGCCAGGCUGUCUCCACCCGAGACUCAGUGAAAUUGAACUCGCUGUGAAGAUGCAGUGUACCCGCGGCAAGACGGAAAGACCCCGUGAACCUUUACUAUAGCUUGACACUGAACAUUGAGCCUUGAUGUGUAGGAUAGGUGGGAGGCUUUGAAGCGUGGACGCCAGUCUGCGUGGAGCCAACCUUGAAAUACCACCCUUUAAUGUUUGAUGUUCUAACUCGGCCCCGUAAUCCGGGGUGAGGACAGUGUCUGGUGGGUAGUUUGACUGGGGCGGUCUCCUCCCAAAGAGUAACGGAGGAGCACGAAGGUUAGCUAAUCACGGUCGGACAUCGUGAGGUUAGUGCAAAGGCAUAAGCUAGCUUGACUGCGAGAGUGACGGCUCGAGCAGGUACGAAAGUAGGUCUUAGUGAUCCGGUGGUUCUGAAUGGAAGGGCCAUCGCUCAACGGAUAAAAGGUACUCCGGGGAUAACAGGCUGAUACCGCCCAAGAGUUCAUAUCGACGGCGGUGUUUGGCACCUCGAUGUCGGCUCAUCACAUCCUGGGGCUGAAGUAGGUCCCAAGGGUAUGGCUGUUCGCCAUUUAAAGUGGUACGCGAGCUGGGUUUAGAACGUCGUGAGACAGUUCGGUCCCUAUCUGCCGUGGGCGUUGGAAGAUUGAGAGGGGUUGCUCCUAGUACGAGAGGACCGGAGUGAACGCACCACUGGUGUUCGGGUUGUCAUGCCAAUGGCACUGCCCGGUAGCUAAGUGCGGAAAAGAUAAGCGCUGAAAGCAUCUAAGCGCGAAACUUGCCUCGAGAUGA